CCUACGGGCGGCUGCAGUGAGGAAUAUUGGUCAAUGGGCGCGAGCCUGACCCAGCCAAGUCGCGUGAGGGAAGACGGUCCUCUGGAUUGUAAACCUCUUUUGUAGGGGAGCAAAAGACGCCACGCGUGGCGUUCCGAGAGUACCCGAAGAAAAAGCAUCGGCUAGCUCCGUGCCCGCAGCCGCGGUCAUACGGGGGAUGCGAGCGUUAUCCGGAUGUAGUGGGUUAAAGGGGUGCGCAGGCGGAAGAUCAAGUCAGCGGUAAAAUUGAGGGGCGCAACCUCGUCGAGCCGUUGAACCUGGUUUUCUUGAGUGAGUGAGAGGUAUGCGGAAUGCGUGGUGUAGCGGUGAAAUGCAUAGAUAUCACGCAGAACUCCGAUUGCGAAGGCAGCAUACCGGCGCUCAACUGACGCUCAUGCACGAAAGUGUGGGUAUCGAACAGGAUUAGAUACCCCUGUAGUC
rnacentral:rRNA from 1 species